AGUGAACGCUGGCGGCGUGCCUAAUACAUGCAAGUCGAACGGAGUGGCGCACGGGUGAGUAAUAUAUAGCUAAUCUGCCCCUUGCUGGAGGACAACAGUUAGAAAUGACUGCUAAUACUCCAUAGCAAGGGAUGAGACUAUAUCGUAUCAGCUAGUCGGUGGGGUAACGGCCUACCGAGGCUAUGACGCGUAACUGGUCUGAGAGGAUGAUCAGUCACAGUGGAACUGAGACACGGUCCAGACUCCUACGGGAGGCAGCGGUAGGGAAUAUUGCGCAAUGGGGGAGACACUGACGCAGCAACGCCGGGUGGAGGAUGACACUUUUCGGAGCGUAAACUCCUUUUGGUAGAGAAGCGGUACCAACAGAAGAAGUGACGGCUAAAUACGUGCCAGCAGCCGCGGUAAUAC
rnacentral:rRNA from 1 species